rnacentral:rRNA from 1 species
GACGAACGCUGGCGGCGUGCUUAACACAUGCAAGUCGAACGGAAAGGCCCUGCUCUUGUGGGGUGCUCGAGUGGCGAACGGGUGAGUAACACGUGAGUAACCUGUCCUUGACUGUGGGAUAACUUCAGGAAACUGGGGCUAAUACCGGAUAGGAGCUCCUGCUGCAUGGUGGGGGUUGGAAAGUUUCGGCGGUUGGGGAUGGACUCGCGGCUUAUGAGCUUGUUGGUGGGGUAGUGGCUUACCAAGGCUUUGACGGGUAGCCGGCCUGGGAGGGUGGACGGCCACAUUGGGACUGAGAUACGGACCAGAAUCCAACGGGAGGCAGCAGUGGGGAAUCUUGCACAGUGGGCGGGAGCCUGAUACGGCAGCGCCGCGUGCGGGAUGACGGCCUUCGGGUUGUGAACCGCUUUCGCCUGUGACGAAGCGUGAGUGACGGUACUGGGUAAAGAAGCCCCGGCUAACUACGUG